GGAUAGCUCAGAUGAUAGGGCAAGAGACUCUUAAUCUCAGGGUUGUGGGUUUGAGCCUCACGUUGGGCA